AGCGUGCGCAGGCGGUUAUGUAAGAACAGAUGUGAAAUCCCCGGGCCUCAACCUGGGAACUGCAUUUGUGACUGUAUAGCUGGAGUGCGGCAGAGGGGGAUGGAAUUCCGCGUGUAGCAGUGAAAUGCGUAGAUAUGCGGAGGAACACCGAUGGCGAAGGCAAUCCCCUGGGCCUGCACUGACGCUCAUGCACGAAAGCGUGGGGAGCAAACAGGAUUAGAUACCCUUGU
rnacentral:rRNA from 1 species